ACUGGGGAAGAUGGGGGUGCAGGAGGAGAGGAGUAGGGGCCGAGGAGCACCUCGGCCGUCUGGAGUCUGGCGAGAGUGGUGAAGGUGGAGGGGCUAGCUCGGGCAGGUUGUUCGGGUCUGGGAGCCAGAAAGAGUAUAGAGGGAGCUCCCAGGCAUCUCAGAGACGGGUGACAUCGGCGGGUGGGACUGCCAGCCCGAGUUAGGGUUAAAGGAAGAAGGAGCCAGACAUUCAUCCCGGUUAAUUUUGGUUACAGGACGUGGUGGCUGGUCGGACAAGGGAAAGCUGCUGGUCAGGGUUCGACCCCCAGGCCUGGGUGGAGGAGUAGCUGGCAGCAGUGGGCAGGUGAGGGCUGCGUCUGCUGGGCAGGUGAGUCCGCUUCACCUUCCUGGACCUCGCUUCACUGGCUUCUGGAAGGAGGUUUAGGGAGCGAGGGCUAGCGAGGAGAAGUGGCACGCCUCCUGCAGAGCAGCAGGAUGAAGGCAGGAUAGUAAGCAAAGGUGACAUCUUCUCGGGGGGAGCCGAGACGAAGCAAAGCUGGGGGGGGUCAUAGGCCUUUCCCCGGGGGAAAGAGCAAAUCAAGAGAGCAGAAUGGGACAAAUACAAGGAUGCCAGCAGGGCCAAAGCUGCUGUCUUCGGUGACUGUGGGGACAGUAGUGGAGGCCACAGGGAUCCAGCACGUGUGGGAGCAUUCUAGGCCCAGGCAGACAUCACGGCGGGGUCACAGGACACAGAGGGGUCCCCAGCCACCACCACAUCCCACCCACUGUAAUUCACUUAGAAGCAGGUAUAGGAGCGGCUCUGGGAGGGCCUUCCAAGGCCUGUACCAGAGCCUUGAUGGCCGGAGAGCGGGAAAGAAGGGCAGUGCAGAAGGACGCCAUCGGGGAGGAGCAGUGGCCACAGGUGCCGGGUUCCGGAGAGAUUUCGCAGCAAGAAGGCUGUGGUGAGCCCAGCCUGUGGAUUCACAGUUCCCACGCAGCACUGCGGCCCAGGAGCUGACGCGGAGAGGGCCCACAGUGGUCUUGGUGACACUGUAUGCCCUAACCGCUCAGCCCCUGGGUCUGGCAUGACAGACAGAACAGCACCAGGGGAGUCAAGGGCACAAGGCAAGGCCAGACUAGGCGAGGCAGGCGAGGCGGAGUGAGUGAGUGUUCUCAGGAGGGAGGUUGGGUGCAGACAGGGUGAGGCUCAACAGCCGGCGGCGAGCCAGCGAGACACUGGCCUCCAGAGCCUGUGGCCACGGUGGGCCUUGCAGGUGAUGACGGAGCAUUGAUCGGUGCCUCUGCACUCGGACUGGAGACCAGGCCAAAUCUCCAGAAGGGCGGAUGUGCCUGCCAGCCUGAAGGCCAGAAUGCAGGAGAUACAAGUACGCUGAGAAGGAGUGAUAUGGUCCGGUGUGAUGGUGAGGCCAGAGGGACUGCUGUCUGGCCUUCCUGAACAUUCUGGGCUGGCGACGCGGAGACACUUCCACGAGGUCUGUUCCUUUGCUUUUCCAAAAGAGCUACCACUGCUGCUCUCUGGACCUCCUAGAAUCCUCAAAAUGAAAGAGAUGGUGCUACCCAGCUCAUGCCUGGGACUUGGAAUUGGGGACUUCUUUAAGUCCAUCUAGCUCUGGAUCAAAAAUAUGCUGCAUCCAGAACCACUUCUCCGCACACCUCAGGAAUUGGCUCUGGAAGGUAGAGCUAAAGGAGCAGGCCUCAGGAACACCAUGGAAGAGCAGACCCGCAGCACUCCCCACCCCGGCAACUCCAUCUUCAUGGCCAGCCCCUGCUGCAUUCGGGAGACC